rnacentral:rRNA from 1 species
GACGAACGCUGGCGGCGUGCUUAACACAUGCAAGUCGAACGGAAAGGCCCUGCUUUUGUGGGGUGCUCGAGUGGCGAACGGGUGAGUAACACGUGAGUAACCUGCCCUUGACUUUGGGAUAACUUCAGGAAACUGGGGCUAAUACCGGAUAGGAGCUCCUGCUGCAUGGUGGGGGUUGGAAAGUUUCGGCGGUUGGGGAUGGACUCGCGGCUUAUCAGCUUGUUGGUGGGGUAGUUGCUUACCAAGGCUUUGACGGGUAGCCGGCCUGAGAGGGUGACCGGCCACAUUGGGACUGAGAUACGGCGCAGACUCCUACGGGAGGCAGCAGUGGGGAAUAUUGCACAAUGGGCGGAAGCCUGAUGCAGCAACGCCGCGUGCGGGAUGACGGCCUUCGGGUUGUAAACCGCUUUCGCCUGUGACGAAGAGUGAGUGACGGUAAUGGGUAAAGAAGCACCGGCUAACUACGUG